AUUCAUGUACUUAUUUCAAAGAUCUCAAAGUGGUUUUUGCACCCUUGUCACCAUUACAAAGCUGGAAAUAAAAUCUGAAUUGCCCAAAGCAUUGGAGGAGGCCGUGCAGUGGAGUGAAAACGUCUCCUGACUGCGAGGCAGUCUGAUGGCUCUGCCAUUAACUAAUGAGAGACUUCAGAGCCCACUGUGGCUUUGCCAGCCUUCUGGACUCCGACAGUGCUUACCAUCUGUGUCUGUCCUUUGGCAACUAGCCAAACUCAACUCAGUUCAAUUCAACCAACUUCCAUAGAGCUGCACUGUUGGCAGGAAGCACUCACAGUCUCAAGGAGUGGGGAAAGCAUUUCCUAUCCAUGGCGCCUCAAUUGUACUUUUAAAACAACCUUGGCAUGGAAAAGAACCUUUCCCGAGACUCUUUGAAAGUCUAAAUACAUGAUUGUAAAUUACUUCCCUUUGUCAACACCCUUGAUUACCAUUUUGGAAAUGAGUUCCAGGUGAUGGAUAAACAGAUGAUUAUUUGACAGAUUUCUGCAUUGAAUGCUGCAAAGUAAAGCUCAGAAGGGUGCAUUGUGAAGAAUCUGAAAGCACAAACAGGGGCAUAGAGCAAGGCUUCUUUCAGUCAACGAAUUUUGAGGAAGGCAAAAUGCACAGAGUAUUGCAGAGGAACUCCAGGAAGAUGCUGUUUUUCAAAUUCAAAGGGGAGAAGAUGGUGUCUAUUGGUGGUGAGAACUUAAGUUCCACCACAGAAGACUAAACUCUGUUAAAGAAUCAAUGAAUAACAACUCCUGGGUUUCUGAACAUAGGGCUGAAUUGAUAGAAGUGGUGUUGCAGAAUUAUUCUAACCAUAACAUGAUAGAUUCAGCUGUAAGCCAGGAGAUUCUCUGUUUGCAUAUUUGACCUGAGGUAAUGAGAACAUGGAUUAAGCUUGUGGCAAUAAAACCAGAAAGGAAGGAGCAGAGGGAUCUGAGACAUGCUACCAAGAAUCAGAGCUAGAGAUUCAAAUUUGGCUAAAUAUAUGCCAAGUGGUAGGUGAAACCAUGUAAGAGACACUCUUCAAGGAAAUGGGUGUUGAGAGAGAAUAGCUGAGGACUGAGUCUUUGGGGAUUCCAACAGUUAAUGGGAGGAGGAAAGAAGAGGAGCCAGCAAAGGAGGCAGAGAAUGAUGGGUCAGAGAGAUAAGAAGAGAAAUUUGAGAAUGCAAUGCCACAAGAGCCAAGGGUAGGACAGUUACAGGAAGGAGUGGGUGGUUGAUGGUUUCAAAUUCAUCCUCGAGGUCAAAGAUGCAAAGGGAGCAGAGACCCCUGAAUUUGACCGGGAGGUCACUGGUGAACUGACUUAUAGAAAGUAGUUUUGGCAGAAAGCACUGGACUCUAGAAGGUUCAAGAGGAGGGAGAGGUGGGAAAAUGGAGGUAGCUCAUGAAUACCACCCAUUUGACACAAGUAAUGUGUGAGGACUGAGAAGAAGAAGGUCAAACUUUAUAAUUCCAGUCCUGCUACUUAACCAGUCUGAACCUCAGUUUCCUCUUUGGAAAAUGAGAAUCCUAUUAGCUCAUAAGGCUGUUGAAAUUAGAAAACAAGUUUAAAUGAUUAUUUUUAUGUUACAGUAAAGGGGUUUCUUCCUCCUUUCCUCUAAAAAAAAAAAAAAAAAAAAAAAAAAAAAAA